UGAACGCUGGCGGCGUGCCUAAUACAUGCAAGUCGAGCGAACGGACGAGAAGCUUGCUUUUCUGAUGUUAGCGGCGGACGGGUGAGUAACACGUGGAUAACCUACCUAUAAGACUGGGAUAACUUCGGGAAACCGGAGCUAAUACCGGAUAAUAUUUUGAACCGCAUGGUUCAAAAGUGAAAGACGGUCUUGCUGUCACUUAUAGAUGGAUCCGCGCUGCAUUAGCUAGUUGGUAAGGUAACGGCUUACCAAGGCGACGAUGCAUAGCCGACCUGAGAGGGUGAUCGGCCACACUGGAACUGAGACACGGUCCAGACUCCUACGGGAGGCAGCAGUAGGGAAUCUUCCGCAAUGGGCGAAAGCCUGACGGAGCAACGCCGCGUGAGUGAUGAAGGUCUUCGGAUCGUAAAACUCUGUUAUUAGGGAAGAACAUAUGUGUAAGUAACUGUGCACAUCUUGACGGUACCUAAUCAGAAAGCCACGGCUAACUACGUG
rnacentral:rRNA from 1 species